UUCGAUACGAGAAAUCGUCGGGAUUUGAGAUUAUUGAUGAUCCUACUUCACCUGAUGAUCCUCACGCUCUUAUUUCGCUAUCUGGACUUUAACACAAGAUCACGAAUAUGAGACGAUAAAGACAAAUUCCGGUUACAAAUACAGGCGCUGCGUCAAACCGUGGUUCACUAAUGCCUUUGAAAUCGGCGAGGUUUUAUUUCUGCUGUGGGGUGUUUGGCUUUGUAUCCGUGUACGAAAUGCUCCCUCGGCGUACAACGAGAGCAAGUACAUCGCCUGGUGUAUAUAUAACACUCUGUUUGUUAAGAUCGUAGUUGGUCUUCUGAGGUAAGGCAAAAUGUUUGCAUCGGUGUUACUGU